rnacentral:lncRNA from 1 species
UUAGGCAAGAUGUUAUCUCUCAUAUCAAAGAGAUAGAAUAUGAAACUGGCAGCCAGUAUUGAUAUAAUGUGGUACUAAAAGCUCCAAUACCAUCAGGGGCUGAAGACAUAACAGGAAUUGUGUGGGAUUUGACCAACCUUAGACUAAAGAGAAAAGUUGUUGCUGCAUUACAGAUAUUUUGAACUCAGCAAUUUUUAUUAAUGUUUUCUCUCUCUUAUGAAUAAUAUGAUAUCUAUACUUGCAAUGAGCAUGAAUUGAAAGUUCCUCAUGUCUGUAAAACUGUUUUCCCUUGACAUUGACCACAUUUCAUGGAUCGGUGAAAAAAGUUAUGUACCCAUGGUCAAGUCCAUGUAUCAGAUUCAAAAAGCAAUAGGUCUGCUUAAUUUGGUAUACUGUAUGAUUGAUCCUGAUCUCAUUGUCAUGCUUUAUUGAUCAAUGUUAAUAUUCAAAAGAUUUAAUAUUGAUUGUACAUUGUAUAUAUAGAUAUGAUAAUAUUUAUUUGUAUCCUUUGAACCAUCAUGACCAUGUUAUA